rnacentral:rRNA from 1 species
AUGGCUAUGGCGCUGCGCACCAUGGCCGCGAAGCUGAAGCAGAAGAUCUCCGCCGCUGUCCAGUGGGUUCGCGUCUCUUCUCAUGCUCCGGCACAGGUUGAUACUGACCUCGACCCCUUUGGCCUAGAGUUUCGCCGGGCACUGGAGAAGAUUGUAGAGAAACACAGGAAGAGGCGCAGGAACGAGGCCUUGGCCUGUGCUGCCGACCUCUUCCUGGGCUUCGCAACCAGCUUCCAGCAGGUCUACGCGCUGGCGCAGUGCGACGUUUACUGCAGCAACUACGUCACCCAGGCCGUGCAGCGCAUCGCGGUCGAGUGCGACGGCGCCCCCUCCGGCCAGGUCUACAUCGGCAAGUGCUACAUUACCUACAGCUACUAA